AGGGAUCAUUACUGAGUUACCGCUCUAUAACCCUUUGUGAACAUACCUAACCGUUGCUUCGGCGGGCAGGGGAAGCCUCUCGCGGGCCUCCCCUCCCGGCGCCGGCCCCCACCACGGGGACGGGGCGCCCGCCGGAGGAAACCAAACUCUAUUUACACGACGUCUCUUCUGAGUGGCACAAGCAAAUAAUUAAAACUUUUAACAACGGAUCUCUUGGUUCUGGCAUCGAUGAAGAACGCAGCGAAAUGCGAUAAGUAAUGUGAAUUGCAGAAUUCAGUGAAUCAUCGAAUCUUUGAACGCACAUUGCGCUCGCCAGCAUUCUGGCGAGCAUGCCUGUUCGAGCGUCAUUUCAACCCUCAAGCACCGCUUGGUUUUGGGGCCCCACGGCACACGUGGGCCCUUAAAGGUAGUGGCGGACCCUCCCGGAGCCUCCUUUGCGUAGUAACUAACGUCUCGCACUGGGAUCCGGAGGGACUCUUGCCGUAAAACCCCCAAAUUUUUUACAGGUUGACCUCGGAUCAGGUAG
rnacentral:rRNA from 1 species